ensembl:lncRNA
GUGCACCUGAGCACACGCACACGGACCUCGGAGCACACGCAAGCGAGGGGAACUGCGCACGCGGGACUCCGGACCCGGUGCUAACCCGGGGGUGGAGAAAGAGAGGGAGGAAGAGCGAAGGCCGGACCUGGACGCCAGCGGGUGCAGCGCGGCCCUGCCUCUGAGGAAAGGCCAUGGGAAGAGGCAGAGAGAAGGCAGCUGUCUAUAAGGCAGGAAGGGAGCUCUCACCAGAAACUGAAUCCGCCAGCACCUUGAUCGUGGACUUCUAGCCUCCAAAACUGAGAGAAAAUAAAGCUCACUUGCUCUGGGGGGAAGCCAGCUGUCUCGUCUUGAGAAACUCAGAUAGGUCUGUGGAGAGCCCCACCUGACAAAGAACUGAGGGCUCCGUCCCACCGCAAGGAAUUCAGACCUGUCAACAACCACAUGAGUGAACUCGAAAGCCAAUCCUUCCGGCCUGCUCCAUCCUUGAGAUGCUGGAGUCGCAGUCAACAGCCCCCUGCCGCCUGAUACCCCAAGGCCAGACUCUCCCAGCUGAGCGCCUCCCUCAGGACCUCUGUGAUAAUAGUCUUUGUUGUUUUAAGCUGGAACAAGAUUGUUUGUCCUGAAAAUGUCCUUAGCGUCACGAUUCUGCUGCUUACACCUCCGUGAUGUUGCUCGCCAUAUCGCUCCGUCCUGUUUGUCCGGUAGACCCGUCGUUGGAUCCACCUGCACCGUCCAAUAUGGCAGCCAUUAGCCCUCCGUGGCUACCAGACAUCUGAAGUGUGGCUGGUACAACUGAGGAACUGAGCUUUUUAUUUCGUUUAAUUUGAAUUAAUUUAAAUUUUAAAAUGGAUAAUCGGUUCGGUUACAGGAAAACUUUUAAGUAUGUUCAGAACAACUUUUUCUCUUGUGAAUUUACUUUUUCCCUUAUGAAUUUCACAAGCUCUAAAUACGGGUCAAGUAUUUCGAGUGGAUAUUUAGCAUCUAAAUUGAAAUACGUUCUAAGCAUAAAAUACAAACUGGAUUUCAAAGACCGAGUCCAAGAAGAAAGUAUGCGAAAUAUCUCAUUACUAUUUUUAUAUUGAUUACCUAUUGAAAUAAUAUUUUGGACAUAUUGGACUAAAUAAAACAUAUUAUUAAAAUUCAUUCCACGGUUUCUUCUUACCUUUUUAAAGUGGUUACUAGCAGGAAAGUUUAAAUUAUAUAUGGGGCUCAGUUUGAACGUCUUGCUAAGAGUCAGGUUGCACUUUUUUGGGAAGACAGUUUCCUGGGUGCUGUGGCCUUGUUCCAGCAAAGGUUCCGAUCUUGUCGUCUUGUUGGGAUCUUAUCACACCCUGACUUAAAGCUCUAUCAGUUAUUAGGGAUUGCAAAGUGGUGAUACUCGUGUUCCGUCACUCUGUCGUUUUUUCUUUUUACUAGCUGGAAUACGCCUAUAAAAGGAAACUUGUUCUGCUCCAGCAAGGGUUACCCUGAGGCGUAGUUUGUGAAGGAAAAAGAGGAUAAAUGCUUAACAUUUUCCCUUUCUUUGUUAUUUUUCAAAAUAACAAGUAGCUUCCUCAGCAUCCUUCAGUGGUGACCAAUUAUUCCUUUUAGAACCUUCAUGAGCUCAUGG